rnacentral:lncRNA from 1 species
CCUGGGCUGACAACAAAAGUUUUUGACUCUUUCUGCUCAAAAUACACUCAAACCCUCAGUACGCUAACACUAUCACAGGGUUUGUACUUUUGUGUAGUUUGAGGGUAUCAGUGUUUACUCCUUGUUUUUAAGGAAACUUGCGAGUUGCAUCUGUAUUCACGGAGGCACAUAGGCUCUUUGAUCUGAUUUGGAUGCCAUUUAAUGAAGAUAACGAGUCGCGUUGACAACAUGUUCCUGACUUCAAAAUGCAUCCUCUCCUCCCCUGCUGUUGCCAUUCAUCUCCAUUUACCCAGAGACUGACGUGAGUGUGACACUGACACACUCCUAAGGCUGUGAUGUUUUCUUUCUUUUAUAUUUUUUUU